rnacentral:tRNA from 1 species
AUAAAUUUAUUCAAUAUCAAAAAAUAUUGGCCGUGUGAUGGCAAAUACAGAGGGUAAAUCCCCUUAUUAUAAA